GACGUAGGGCGCGAGCGUUGUCCGGAUUUAUUGGGCGUAAAGAGCUCGUAGGCGGUCUGUCGCGUCGGCUGUGAAAACCCGGGGCUCAACCCCGGGCCUGCAGUCGAUACGGGCAGACUAGAGUGCGGUAGGGAGACUGGAAUUUCCUGGUGUAGCGGUGAAAUGCGCAGAUAUCAGGAGGAACACCGGUGGCGAAGGCGGUUGCUGGCCGACACUGACGCUGGAGGCGCGAAGCCAGGAGCGAACGGG
rnacentral:rRNA from 1 species